rnacentral:lncRNA from 1 species
CAAACUUUCAAGGCUGUCAAUAUGGUUGUUAAAUUGCACUGCUGUCGGAAUUAUGGAAAUUAAGUUAUCUGCUUUCUGCUUGGUCUCUCUCCUUAAUUCUGACCCCAGCAAGUGAUCCAGACACCCUAAGGAGGAGGAGCUGGAGCCAGUAUGGACAUACUUCUUGGGAAGUCGGAGGACAAGGAAGAGUCAAACCAACAACCAGCUGAGCCUAACAGCUAGGUUUCCGUGGAGGCAGAGGGAAGAUAAGGUUGGAGAAGCAGCUGCUCAACGGGUCUGUGGGACUGGACACAUGGGGUGCCCCAGCCCCAGGGAACCCCACUUCUGGUUAUCUUCUGAGGAGUUCUAAAGUGGAGGGUGAGCAGAGUUCACUGGGGUCUGGGUCCCUGAUAUAAGCCAAAGGCGAUAAAGUAGAAACAGCUUGGUGGGCUCCAGCAAAGGACAGAAGCUGGCGGCAGGUCUGUGGAAGUUGGUCCCAAGGUGCCCUAAUUUGCAAACAUUUUACUUCGCAGCUAACUGGCUAACUGGUGGUAAAGCAGAUCUAUGCCCCAGGACCUUGCGGAAAUAGAAUAUGGAAGUCCAU